rnacentral:rRNA from 1 species
CCGGUUUAAGCGUGUAGGCUGGUUUUCCAGGCAAAUCCGGAAAAUCAAGGCUGAGGCGUGAUGACGAGGCACUACGGUGCUGAAGCAACAAAUGCCCUGCUUCCAGGAAAAGCCUCUAAGCAUCAGGUAACAUCAAAUCGUACCCCAAACCGACACAGGUGGUCAGGUAGAGAAUACCAAGGCGCUUGAGAGAACUCGGGUGAAGGAACUAGGCAAAAUGGUGCCGUAACUUCGGGAGAAGGCACGCUGAUAUGUAGGUGAAGUCCCUCGCGGAUGGAGCUGAAAUCAGUCGAAGAUACCAGCUGGCUGCAACUGUUUAUUAAAAACACAGCACUGUGCAAACACGAAAGUGGACGUAUACGGUGUGACGCCUGCCCGGUGCCGGAAGGUUAAUUGAUGGGGUCAGCGCAAGCGAAGCUCUUGAUCGAAGCCCCGGUAAACGGCGGCCGUAACUAUAACGGUCCUAAGGUAGCGAAAUUCCUUGUCGGGUAAGUUCCGACCUGCACGAAUGGCGUAAUGAUGGCCAGGCUGUCUCCACCCGAGACUCAGUGAAAUUGAACUCGCUGUGAAGAUGCAGUGUACCCGCGGCAAGACGGAAAGACCCCGUGAACCUUUACUAUAGCUUGACACUGAACAUUGAGCCUUGAUGUGUAGGAUAGGUGGGAGGCUUUGAAGUGUGGACGCCAGUCUGCAUGGAGCCGACCUUGAAAUACCACCCUUUAAUGUUUGAUGUUCUAACGUGGACCCGUGAUCCGGGUUGCGGACAGUGUCUGGUGGGUAGUUUGACUGGGGCGGUCUCCUCCUAAAGAGUAACGGAGGAGCACGAAGGUUGGCUAAUCCUGGUCGGACAUCAGGAGGUUAGUGCAAUGGCAUAAGCCAGCUUGACUGCGAGCGUGACGGCGCGAGCAGGUGCGAAAGCAGGUCAUAGUGAUCCGGUGGUUCUGAAUGGAAGGGCCAUCGCUCAACGGAUAAAAGGUACUCCGGGGAUAACAGGCUGAUACCGCCCAAGAGUUCAUAUCGACGGCGGUGUUUGGCACCUCGAUGUCGGCUCAUCACAUCCUGGGGCUGAAGUAGGUCCCAAGGGUAUGGCUGUUCGCCAUUUAAAGUGGUACGCGAGCUGGGUUUAGAACGUCGUGAGACAGUUCGGUCCCUAUCUGCCGUGGGCGCUGGAGAACUGAGGGGGGCUGCUCCUAGUACGAGAGGACCGGAGUGGACGCAUCACUGGUGUUCGGGUUGUCAUGCCAAUGGCACUGCCCGGUAGCUAAAUGCGGAAGAGAUAAGUGCUGAAAGCAUCUAAGCACGAAACUUGCCCCGAGAUGAGUUCUCCCUGACCCUUUAAGGGUCCUGAAGGAACGUUGAAGACGACGACGUUGAUAGGCCGGGUGUGUAAGCGCAGCGAUGCGUUGAGCUAACCGGUACUAAUGAACCGUGAGGCUUAACCU